rnacentral:rRNA from 1 species
CUACGGGGCGCAGCAGUGGGGAAUAUUGCACAAUGGAGGAAACUCUGAUGCAGCAACGCCGCGUGGAGGAUGACACUUUUCGGAGCGUAAACUCCUUUUAUAUAGGAAGAAGAUGACGGUACUAUAUGAAUAAGCGCCGGCUAACUCCGUGCCAGCAGCCGCGGUAAUACGGAGGGCGCAAGCGUUACUAGGAAUCACUGGGCGUAAAGAGCGUGUAGGCGGAUUAAAAAGUCAGAAGUGAAAUCCUAUAGCUUAACUAUAGAACUGCUUCUGAAACUCUUAAUCUAGAAUAUGGGAGAGGUAGAUGGAAUUUCUGGUGUAGGGGUAAAAUCCGUAGAGAUCAGAAGGAAUACCGAUUGCGAAGGCGAUCUACUAGAACAUUAUUGACGCUGAGACGCGAAGGCGUGGGGAGCAAACAGGAUUAGAUACCCGGGUAGUC